ensembl:lncRNA
GAAACCCGGAGGGACGUCUCGCGGUGAUCGAUCACGCCGACAAAACAAUCAGCCGGGCUGAAGCCUUCCGGAUCGCCCAACUGUUUGUGUUGUUCCGAAUAAUCCCCGAAAUGCUUCAGCUCCCUGCCGACGGAGGCACCUCCUCCGCCCCUCCAUUCAUCACUCGCUGACCAUUUAGUGCGCGGCCGCUCCUUGAUUGAUCGUGUUUAUGGUCUGAACCCGCUGUGUGAUUGAUGAAGUCAAGUGUUUGUGCAACCCGACGCCGCUCGGGCUAAACACGCGGAAAGCCGGUGGUCCUGUUCCUGCAACACAAGGAGCCCUGAAUGUUACAUGAAAUCAGCAUCAAUUGGCUUUGGCUCGAUCUUCGGCCACCAGUGGCGGCGAAAGCACAAACGCAGCAUGGAACCUGCUAACUGGCUCGCCAGCCAGAGGCCGAUAAGCCUCCUGUGAGCAACAUCAGUAGCUGAGACGGUUGCAGAGAUCCGCCUGCCGCGUGUAAUGGAUUUCACGGACGCCGAUCGACCGCUUCGAGGGAAGAAAACGCUCGGUGCUGAAUGCUGCUGUAAUAAAGUUAUAACACUUACUUACACUCAUGCAAGAAACGUGUGAAGGAUGUUUCAGAGGCUGACUUAAUUAAGUAUUAGUUUAGUGUUUUUUACCCUCUUGGUGGCCUGUCUGCUGCAGACUGGUCAAAACGAGUCAUAUUUUUGAAAGGAAAAACCAAUAAGCACAAGGAAAGAACCCGUGAUGAAGCCUCCAUGUGUAAAGUCCCUGAACCAAUGAAAUUGCCUCAAGCGACGCGGCCGUGGCAGAAAAAAAGGUAGAAAUAAAACCAUGUGAUCAGUGCACUUGCUUCAAUUCGAUGGUAAUCUGCAGGAGAGAUGGAAAUGGAAUGAUCAUUACAGUGAUGAAUCCCCCCCCGCGGAGGGCUGCCCGGAGACGAGAUCUGCAACAAUGCAAGAAGAGGUAAAAAUGCGUCUCUUCGGGGCUUCGUGCUGCUUUCGCCACUGGCUGUUUGCUGUGGUUCAGUUCGACGCCAUUAAACAAAUCCACAGUAAUCACAAAUACGGAGCGCGGGACGCCGUUCUGUGCCGAGCCUCUAGUAAUGGACUAAAUGAGCCUCUGCGCUUGUUUGCGUGUUCCUAUCAGCUGGGGAUGUGAUUGUAAAUUAGAAGAACUUAGCUUGCCGCUCGCCCGCUGCUGACUUGGGAAUGGUAUUGGAUUACAGCGACUCUAAUAGUGUCCCCCUAAUGUCUCCCUUAGAAAGCCUCCUGGCCUCUCACCGACGGGGAACGUUUUCUUUUUAUACUUAAUCUAUAACGACAGCUGGAGGAAGAACCGCAGGCACAAAAGUGUCCGGUGGGUCAACAUGAGCGGCUUUGAUCCGACAGUAAUGGUUGUAUUUAAUGCGCACGGGUGGGCGGCGCAGUUCUCGUUUAUUUCACCAAAAACAAAGUUAAAGUCUGAAAAUCAACAGGUUUGGUCGACCUCAAGCAAAGAAUAAUACACAUUGUUGCCCUUUUGAUUCUGGAAGGGUUCAUAAUCAUUUGAAGGGUCUUUGGAAACGCAGGUGCGUCCUCUGCUGAACGUGAUGCAAACAGCUGGAAUGACUCUUUGAUUCAUGAAUAUUACGUUUGCUGCAGUUUUCUUUUCUAUUCAUUUCUAAUUCCUAAUGACAUCCACCCGAUCGAUGUUUUAUUGGCUUCAUCUCAUUAAAUUGCUAUAAUCCUGGUGCCAGCAUAUAAGAACAUUCAAC